UACGGAGGGUGCAAGCGUUAUCCGGAUUUACUGGGCUUAAAGGGUGCGUAGGCGGGUUGGUAAGUCAGCGGUGAAAUCCCCGAGCUUAACUUGGGAACUGCCAUUGAUACUAUCAGUCUUGAAUACCGUGGAGGUCAGCGGAAUAUGUCAUGUAGCGGUGAAAUGCUUAGAUAUGACAUAGAACACCAAUUGCGAAGGCAGCUGGCUACACGAAUAUUGACACUCAGGCACGAAAGCGUGGGGAUCAAACAGG
rnacentral:rRNA from 1 species